rnacentral:rRNA from 1 species
AACGAACGCUGGCGGCAGGCCUAACACAUGCAAGUCGAACGCCGUAGCAAUACGGAGUGGCAGACGGGUGAGUAACACGUGGGAACGUACCCUCGGUUCGGAAUAACUCAGGGAAACUUGAGCUAAUACCGGAUACGUCCGAGAGGAGAAAGAUUUAUCGCCGAGGGAUCGGCCCGCGUCUGAUUAGCUUGUUGGUGAGGUAACGGCUCACCAAGGCGACGAUCAGUAGCUGGCUGAGAGGAUGA